GUCCAGCUCAGCCUACGGGACCUGUGCUGCUUCUUGGCUUUGGACUGUCCUUUCAAGCUUCCAGAGUUGUUUGUGGUCCAGCUCAGCCUACAAGACUUGUUCUGUUGUUGGCUUUAGUAUGCCCUUUCAAGCUCAGGGAAGGAAGUUUGAGGGUGCCUAAGUUAUAUCUGAACUUUUCUUUCUUUGUUGGUGUUCUUAGUAGGUUUGUUAUUGUUGUUUGAAUGGGGUGUUAAUUUUGAAUUAUUUGCACUGCACCUUAUGAAUGAAGUUACCUCUUCUUAUUUUCU